GUCAGACAUAUUUUGAUUGUGAGGGGUGAACACUACCAAUGGUCUGGAAAGGCAGCAAAGGAGUUUAAAUAGAACUACUUGGCCAACUAUACUAUGGGCUCAUUGAACAAUAUGGUCACUACUAAAUUUCCUUCCGGAACGCUACAUAAGUUCUGAAGACUGCUGUGAAGGCUAAAACUCAUGUAUCAUCUGGUGUAAAGAUUAUCCCUCAGGAUAGUGUGCUGACCGUGUCUGUUAACAAAACAGAUUCCAUGCGCUGAUUGUAGUAGAUCCUAUCAUUUCACCAAUUACUGUGUUGAAGUAGAUGUUGAAGGACUGGGAGAUUGGCCCCAGAUACUAAGACAACAAGACAGGGCUACCAACACAACAAUCCAACUAUCAAGAAAUGAUUCCCUGAUAGACCAACCGAUUGCAGCCGAUGCUCAUACAACAAAAAAGCAAAAUGAUGCUGGCAGGACAUUUGCCCGAAGUCCAAAAGGUGUCAGAAGGACAGUCGACAUAGGGGCGCGUAUAAUUUGCUUAAAGUGCCAAAGAGGUAAAAAAACACAUUUUGAUAAGAGGACUACCAACAAAAAACCAGUAGAGGACCAAAUAAGCCAGUAGGCCCACACAUGCUGACAGAACAGACGCCAGCAUGCUGUUUAUGCAUAUAACCCACUGAUGAAAGAUGGCACUCGUAAAGUCCUGGCCUGUGGAAUAACUGUAAUACGUUUAUCGAUGCAUGUGUACUCAGUAAUGAUUCAGGAUAAAUUCUACAGCAGCCACUACAAUAUUGAUGUUAUAAGCAGAGAGUUUGGAAACUUGUUCAAUGAAGAGUUUGGAUUGGCAGAGUGUUACUUGUCAAGGGUGUUAAAGAAGGAAGCUAUGAUUUCCAUUCUGCAAAUGCACUCUAUUGUCAGUUAUCAGGAGGCGGAAGCAAGAAAGGAGGCAGAGAGUACAAACAACAGAAAAAAACAUGUUUGCUCGGAUAGUUCCUAUACAUUGUAAAUGAGGGCAUGAAGUGUGAUGUAUCUGAAAAAGGAACAACACAACCAAUCCACAACGAGUUCAAUGUGGUAAGGUUUGUCAACGACAUUUUCUUGUCUAGUUAAUAUUCUAAUGUAUACAAGCCUUUUUUAUGAAGAAGCUGUUUGCUUUCAGCAAAACAUUUUAAGUAAUUCACAAACUGAUGCAUUGAUUUACAAGAACAUUUCCGUUAGAUAUACAUGUACAUCUAUUGUGCUCAAAUACAAUUAUUUAGACAUUGAACAGCCCCCUGUUUGAACUAUAAGACAAAUAAUAAUCUGAAGUGUUUUUGUUUUUCUGUGCUUCUUUUUAAUUCAGCUGAACUAAACUAGACACUGUUUCCAUAGAAACGUCCAAUUUGCGACAAUUUGGUAACGUCUGCGUUUGAAAAAUUCAGUAACUAUUUGUUUUCAUUUGUUAGUUUCUUGAAGAAAGAUAAAAAUAUUUACUGUUGUUCAAGUAGAUUGAAUGUUACUUAUGCAAUUGCAUCUGGUCAUUUACAUUUUGCAAUAUCUUUGUUUAAUAUUUCACAGUUAACUACUUCCUAUUAUUGAAUUUCUUCUACCAAUUGAAGAUCAGGUCAAUAAAAUACAGGUAUUGAAUUUUGACCAAAAACGAUUUUUCAGUUUAAUGUUUCUCUGACCCCAAUUAAUCAAAUACUAUAUCCAUGCAAGUGCUUGAAUUUAAUGAUUUUCUGUGCAAUGUAAAUUUCGAAAAGAAUAUCGUGUUUUUGUCUGUACAUUUGCUAACUCCCAUUAAAGAAAGUGCACGAACGGGCACAGCUCCUACAAAAUACGACUAUUCAGCUGAUAUUUACAAACUCAAUUCACAUAAACGCUGGUAAGUCUUUGCAUCUUGUUUUAAAAAACAUGGUACAAAACAUUAUGAAUAUGACUUCUAAUUGUUUGAUAACUGACCAUGAUGGAAGCGGCUUGGACGACCGGUAGAAAUAGGGGUCGAUGGGAGUAUUUACAACGGAUGGACAGUCUCCGGUGCUAUGACCUGGCUGAGGGUUAUUUGUUCCUUAAAAGGUAAGUGUUCAUGUGUACUUUUAGACAAAGGGUAAGCUAUGUGUCCACUCAAAAUGUAAUCUGUUCAUAGUAAAAACUUUUGUUUUCAUGUAAAGCAUCAAAUAUUACAUUGUUAUGUAUAAUAAUUGAAAGUUGUUUCAAACAAAUCUCCUUACAUAACUUGGCAAUGAUGCAUUGUAAUUGCAUAACAUUGACUUACUCCAAGAAUAUUUUGGGUUCAACUUUUUAGGUGUCUAUUUACUGAUCGUGAGUGUGUUCAUCAAAGCAAUUUAUAUUGACCUGGACAAAUGGUUGGAUGUAAUUUAUACAUGUAUUUAUAUAAGUUUAUUAGUUUGAUCGAGUGGCUACAACUUUUUCAACAGCAGCAACUUUCGAAGUACCUCCUUCUUUCUAUCUCAGGACAACCGACAUCAAAGGACAAAAACCUCCUAGAGACAGCAAAUAAAACAACACGAUCUUUCCGUCAGUUUGUCUGUAGUUAAGUUUUUAUUCCAAUUAAAUAUAUAUAUGCAUAAAUGUUCUCUACAGGAUGAAUGUCCUGAUCACAUUGUUUAUUAUAUAUUGUUUGUGGAAAUUGUUAACAUGCAUGAUUGAAUUUCACAUGUUUACUAGGUUUCUAUUCAUAAAACAUCUGAAGUUAUUUCCUAACUAAGGCUUUUUGAUUA